UGUGUUGACUCUGCCUAGCAGAAAGCUGGGUCCACAGAGGUCCAGAAGGAAUCUCUACUCUCCGUGGCUCCAGGAGAUAAAAAGAAGAACGUGGGUCUCCACACAGAAAUGACCUCCAUGAGGUCUGACACUCUCCAGCACUGCAGCAGAGGAGAGAGCCUGAGGGGGAAUCCCAGAGCGGCAGAAAUAGCAGUGCUUUAUCUGAAGUCCACAAAACCCAACAAUGCAUUCUUGGAAGACAAGAGCCAUGCUCGGCACAGGGAAGCUGGAGGUCAAAGCUCAUGGGGCGGCCCUCCCUCCAUCAGGUGCUGUGGUGCCAAGACAACUUCUUAGUCUCUAUGGACCUCAGGUUCCUCAUCAGUGAGGUAAAGUGUGUAUUGUUCCUCUCAGAGGUCCUGCUGCUUAGGUUCCUUGGAGUCCCUGGGGAACCGCACAUGCCCUGGGAACUGAGUCUGAGACCUGACCUAGUCCUCCUCUGUGUCUCCUCCCAGAUCUGGAGCUGAGUCCACAGCCUGAGAAGCCAGAACUGAAGGUGCAGAUGAAGGACGAUGAGCAGCUCUCUGGAACAUGAGAAUGACCCAGAGAAUGACAAGUCCCUGUUGUCCUGCUGUGACACACCAUCAGCAUGGCAGGAUCCCACAGCCCUGCAUCAGAUCCCGUGGCAGAACUGAACGACCUCAAAUGCCAGCAGU